GCGGGAUUAGUACAGUGGUAGUACGAUAGCUUCCCAAGCUAUAGACGCCAGUUCGAUCCUGGUAUCCCGCU
rnacentral:tRNA from 1 species